AUUUCCCCAAUGGGUUUUCCGGAUUUCUGGAGACUUGUAGGGGUUGUGGGAUUUUUGAUGUGUCGUCUCCGGACGGGCGGUGCAGGGUAGUCGAGUUAGACUUGGUGGAAUUCCGUUGAUAGGAGUUCCGUCGAGUCUGGUCGGCUGUGUGUUGGACGGUGCAGGGUAGGCUGCUUGGACAUGGUCGGUUCGAGGAUCGAUUCGAGGGCCGGCCUGUCGAUGAUGUGUGAUGUAUGCGGUCUAGGGUAGGCUGGUUUGUCUUGGUUCAAUUUGAUGUCGGCUCCCGUGCAGGGCAGAGUGAGGGGGGUCCAGGGUAGGUACAGGGUAGGCAGCUUAGAUUUGGUCGAUCAGGAGGUCGAUUCUCUGGCUGGCGGAUCUGACACUGUCGAAACGAGAUGCGAGCGGUGUAGGGUAGGCUAGUUUCGUCCUCGCCAGGUUGCGAUUUGGACGAGACAUGUGGUUUAGGGUAGGCUCUAGGGUAGGUAGAAUUCGAGUUUCGUCGCCGACAGUUUUCUGUGGGUGUAUGGUAGGUACAGGGUAGGCAAAUCUCUCUCCGGCCAGUACUUGUCUGGUGGUCGUGAGUCGAUUUUUUUGUUUU
rnacentral:misc_RNA from 1 species